GUGUCGAUGGUGCAACGGUCAGCAUACGCUUCCGGAAAUAGUGAAAUCUAGGUUCAAAUCCCGGCUGACGCA